AUGGAAAAACGUUUGCACUCCAAAAAAUAUCGUGGUUUAGGUCUCAAAAACUUGCAUCUUCAGAAUAAUUGCCUGUUCAUGAAAUUUGCAGCCAAGGCACUCGCCUCCUCCUCCACCUCCUGGAUGGACUGGUUGGAUCUUCAACACACAAAUGCUCUAGUUUCACCCCCACCCCAAACCUCCUUCCUCUGUCGUACCAUAGCACAGCAAAUACCAACACUCCAGUCCAUCACCUUCGUCCUAACAAUCAGUGGGAUGCACACCUACUUCUGGCACGACACUUGGCUCACACCAACACCUCUAGCCCACACUUACCCUUACCUAUUCUCACACUCCACUCUACAGCUGAUUAAGGUGGCUAAUGUGCUGCGUUACGUUCUAGAAGCUAACCUCCGUAACCGUCUCUCCCUACUGGCAGAGCAAGAGCUUGUUGCUUUGUUGGCUGUUUUGCAGGAUUUCGUCCCUUCAGCUGAGGAAGACCAAAGGUUCCUAAUUCGGGGUCUUGCCUUCUCCACCAAGCAAGCGUACGACACUCUCAUGGCACGCCCGGACUGCGAUCCUCUCGCCCCCAUCAUUUGGCACUCCAAAGUUCCACGCAAGAUUAAAAUCUUCACCUGGCUCCUCUUCAAGGAUCGACUCAACACCCGAGCCAAUCUUGUACACAAGCAUAUCAUAUCCACGGAUGUUUGUCCACGCUGCGCUAUGCUACCAGAGGACUCCAUGCAUCUCUUCCUCACCUGCCCCGUUGCCAACCGUGUUUGGCAACGGCUGGGCAUCCUACCUCAAGCGGAGGGCAUCAUCGACCUUUGGGACGCGCCGAUUCCUCACCAACUGCCACACAAGGCCUGGCCUUUUAUUCUCAUGUCUCUCCUCUGGAAGAUAUGGGCUGCGAGAAAUGAUAUGUUGUUUAGGAACAUUGAUCAACGUUCUGUAAUAACCCUCAGAGCCCUCAUCUCUGACCUAGACCUAUGGUCACAUCGUCUCAUGGAAACAUGCGACAAGGAGGACGUCUCCUCGUGGCGUUCCUACCUCUCUGCACGCUGCAUCGUGCCUUUGUAA
rnacentral:rRNA from 1 species